AAUAAUGUAAUAUUUCCGUAGGGCAAAAACGUCUUAACCGGAUAUCGCACAAUACCGGAAGUAUAUGCGAGUUUUCUUCGUUCGUAUAUUAUUAUCGUAAUAGUACUUCACGUAUGCACUCGGGAAAAUCGCUAAAAUAAACCGACGACGACGCUUCUUGCCGGAAAUCUGCGAUGAUUUUCUGCAUGGACUAUUAUUAUUAUAUUUUAUUAAAAUUAAUAGUCCCGAUGAUGUAAAUGUACGGUGGAAUUAUCUAAACUUAAGUCUCAGACUACCUGUGCUGUUCCCGACUUUUCCAAUCGUUGGCAAAAAGUAGAAAUAAAAACAAACUUCGUUUUAAUGUGAGUAAUUAUAAUCAUAGAAUUUUAUUUAAU